rnacentral:rRNA from 1 species
GGUGUUUACUGUCGAACUGAACACUCUACCGUUUACUGUCUGGUGGUGCUCUUCACCGAGUGUCACCAGUGGUCGGUACGUUUACUUUGAAAAAAUUAGAGUGCUCAAAGCGGUUUUUACACGACCGAAUACUGUUGCAUGGAUAUGACAUAGACUUGUCUAUUUGUUGUCUCGGACCCAAGGUAAUGAUAAGAGGGACAGACGGGGGCAUUAGUAUUGCGACGCUAGAGGUGAAAUUCUUGGACCGUCGCAAGACUAACUAAAGCGAAAGCAUUUGCCAAGAAUGUUUUCAUUAAUCAAGAACGAAAGUAGAGGUUCGAAGGCGAUCAGAUACCGCCCUAGUUCUAACCAUAAACGAUGCCAACCAGCAAUCAGCCUGUGUUCUCUUGAUGACACGGCUGGCGGCUUCCGGGAAACCAAAGUCUUUCGGUUCCAGGGGAAGUAUGGUUGCAAAGCUGAAACUUAAAGGAAUUGACGGAAGGGCACCACCAGGAGUGGAGCCUGCGGCUUAAUUUGACUCAACACGGGGAAACUCACCCGGCCCGGACACUGUGAGGAUUGACAGGUUGAAGCCCUUUCUUGAUUCAGUGGGUGGUGGUGCAUGGCCGUUCUUAGUUGGUGGAGUGAUUUGUCUGGUUAAUUCCGAUAACGAACGAGACUCUAGCCUACUAAUUAGACCGUGGCGUCCUCGUGCCGCCACGGCGCUUCCUAGAGGGACAGACGG